GAGGGUAUAGCUCAGUGGUAGAGUGCGCGCUUGGCGUGCACGAGGUCCUGGGUUCCAUCCCCAGUGCCUCCA
rnacentral:tRNA from 1 species